rnacentral:rRNA from 1 species
UACGAAGGGGGCUAGCGUUGCUCGGAAUCACUGGGCGUAAAGCGCACGUAGGCGGUUCCUUAAGUCGGGGGUGAAAUCCUGGAGCUCAACUCCAGAACUGCCUUCGAUACUGAGGAUCUCGAGUCCGGGAGAGGUGAGUGGAACUCCGAGUGUAGAGGUGAAAUUCGUAGAUAUUCGGAAGAACACCAGUGGCGAAGGCGGCUCACUGGCCCGGUACUGACGCUGAGGUGCGAAAGCGUGGGGAGCAAACAGG